rnacentral:rRNA from 1 species
UACGAAGGGGGCUAGCGUUGCUCGGAAUCACUGGGCGUAAAGCGCACGUAGGCGGAUUGUUAAGUCAGGGGUGAAAUCCUGGAGCUCAACUCCAGAAGUGCCUUUGAUACUGGCGAUCUCGAGUCCGGGAGAGGUGAGUGGAACUGCGAGUGUAGAGGUGAAAUUCGUAGAUAUUCGCAAGAACACCAGUGGCGAAGGCGGCUCACUGGCCCGGUACUGACGCUGAGGUGCGAAAGCGUGGGGAGCAAACAGG